GGUCUAUUAGUGUAGUGGUUAGCACGUGGGAUUUUGAUUGCCCUCCAAGCUCCAUCAACUCUUCCCGAGUCGCAGGUUCGAGCCCUGCAUAGACCU